rnacentral:lncRNA from 1 species
CAACGAAAUAAAAGAUGAAGGCCCAACCAAAAAGGUAAGAGGAAAGCCCAAAACAAAACAAAAGAGGACUAUAGACUAAAGCUCAAGCAAAAUGUUGAAAUUACAAAAGACAACCUAAAUUAACUCAACGCCUUUUGCUCUCCACCGAGUCUUCUUUUUCUCCAUCUGCUUGGUUCUUCCUCUUGAAGCGUGAGUUACGGGAGUUGGCGCUGUGAGGAGUGAUCGGUCACUUUUGUGUGUUGUCGGUGUUGGGCUGUUAUGGUGGCAAUGAUUGGGGCUGCCGGCGAGAUGCAACCCGAUUUGGGACGGCGGGGAUGCCGUCACAGGUGUCGACUGGCUAUAGCGAUGGCAGACGAGUCGACGAAGUGGAAGAAGACUCGGAAUUUGUGUGAUUGCUGCCUAUUAUGGAGCAAUGGCGGUGGUGCGAACUGUAGGUCGUAGGUUUGGGAAGAUUAUAGCGUUGAUAGUUGGUGGUAGUUUCUGGUGAUAAAUGGUAGCAGUGGUGGCUUAGUAGAUUGUGUGUGGGGUAGUUACUGUUUGUAGCAGUUUAUAUAGGUGUCGUGGUACAGUUGAUAUUCAGCAGCUACGGGCAUGAGGCGAUUUUGAAUUUUGCAGUAGCCGGUUUGAAGUGUGGAGAAUAUGAUGUGGGGGUUUGUUGCUGGUUAUAGUUGCUGUGGACGAGUUGGAUAAACAGGUGUAGUAUAUGGCGGUUGGGGAGGUGGAGGCGAUGGAGGAGAAAUUGAAUGAAUAAUUAUAGGCGAAGGAGGCUAAGGUGACUUGUGAUGUUUUUGAAUGUUGGUGCUGUGUAAAUUGUUGUCCAGGUUUAGCUCUGAUACCACUUUAAUGCCGGAUGAAAGAAGGGACCAGAAGAAGAGUUUCAAGAAGGAGAAGGAGAGGGAGAAGAAGGCAGCAAAAAAGGGGGGAGAAGACUGGAGAGAAAGGGGGAAGAUCGGAGAAGAAAACCAAAGGAAGGGACGGGGAAGCAAGGGAGGAAACGACUGCAAGCCAAACAUAAUAAUAUUUCAUUCCAUCAUUGUUUGUAUGUAAUUACAACUGAAAAUCAUAUAAAUAGUAGAAGAAGACCUAACAUUCAUUAGCUUGGACUAGACCCACUAAAUAAGUCCAAUAAAGUGAAAAAGACAUAAUUAAAUAACAUGAAGUAAAAAUAAAUAGGCCGAGAUGUCCGCAUCACAUACUCUAUAUCUUUCCCUCCAACUGGUUAAAAUUGUUCUCGAUGUCAUUUUUUAGAAUUUCAAUUGUGUUUCUUAUGUUCAAUUUAUUAAGAAAAGGUCG